CAGUAGCCGCGGUAAUACGAAGGGGGCUAGCGUUGUUCGGAAUUACUGGGCGUAAAGCGCGUGUAGGCGGGUCUUUAAGUCAGAGGUGAAAUGCCAAGGCUCAACCUUGGAACUGCCUUUGAUACUGGAGAUCUUGAGUCCGGGAGAGGUGAGUGGAACUGCGAGUGUAGAGGUGAAAUUCGUAGAUAUUCGCAAGAACACCAAUGGCGAAGGCGGCUCACUGGCCCGGAACUGACGCUGAGACGCGAAAGCGUGGGGAGCAAACAGGAUUAGAGACCCGUGUAGUCCCUGUCUCUUAUAC
rnacentral:rRNA from 1 species